CCUGCACCUCCAUCGGGAUUGACUGAGCAGGUCUCCUUGUCUACUGCCUGAAGGACACUCCAGUCAUUUCUCCUUUCCGGGCGGCCCCAGGGGCCUCCCAACAGCUUCCUCUGGGACAUUCAAAGGUUGCACAUUGCACUUAAGUAUUUGAAGUAUUUAUAGGCUGAUACAAUGGCCGGGGAAGCUUCGCGCCCAAGACAGCUCCUCCCGUCACCUACCACAGACUGUAAUUACAGUGCCUUGGUGACCUGGGCAGACUGAGGCCAAACCUGCCCCGGUUGCAUCGUUUCAUACAGGCCUGCCUGCCUGGCUGCUCCUGGGACGUGCCAAGACCACAGGUUCCUCCACUUGGAAUCGCUGGAGGAUCCCUUCCUCUCCGACACAGAAUCUGAGAGCUGAAGGGAAAAUAGAUAGAUGGUCCUGGGCUGAUCGUGGAGGAGGCCUACUUGGAGAACGGAGGAGAUGGGAUGAAGACAGAUGAUUGCUUUCUGAUAAUGAAAUGGCAGCUUUUCCCAAUCCUCAGAAACAUCUCCUGACAAGAAUUUGACCUUGGCUACAGCCUGGCCUCAGACCUCCAGCCUCUAGGCCUAGGAGAGAUAGAUGUUUGUCAUUUAAGCUGUACUGUCUACAUCAUUUUCCUAUAGUAGAUUCAACUAAGACCCCAGACCAAAGCAAAAGUUGAGUUUUAAAACUGCCCUUGGAGAGUGGAGAGGUGAGAUGGUACUCUCCACCCCCACCCAUUCUGUUUGCAGGGACUUUUUACCCGAGCUAGAGGGAAAUGCACAUAGCCUGUGUUAGCUCUAAGUCCUGCUCUCUGAAAUGAAAUCACAAGUGGUCCCUGACCCGGUGCACUCUGGCCUUGCCCAUCUGAAUGGCCUCCUAUGCUAGUGUCUUGUUUAUUUAAUUUAUUUAGUGUUUCAUGUGCUCUCUUUGAAAGGAAUAAAUGUUUUGAAGAACCAUA